ensembl:processed_transcript Six3os1 SIX homeobox 3, opposite strand 1
CGGCCGCGCCUUGUAAGCGCUAAGCCGGGAGGAGGGCGCAGGCAGGGCGCACAGCUCUGAGCGCGACCCUACCCGGCUCGGGCCCGCAGCAGCCCCGACUGUCCGAGAGCCUCUCCGCAAGCAAGGCUCUGCGCCGCCCUCUGAGCCCACCUCCUGGCCACAACGCUGCCUGCGCUUCUCCAGCCCAGGCCGGAAGCCCUAUGCUGCCUCCCGAAGCCGGACUUUCUGGAAGCCCAUCUUCGUAUGCUCACCAGCCCACCCUCCUACGCUGGUCAGAGUGAGAUUGCUAACCUCAAGACCCCAUUCAAUGCCAGCUUUCAACUACUGCUGAAGACCAAUGUAGGUCCUGGAAUAGAAGAACUGCAGAGUAUCCCUAAGGUCUCCUCUUCAUCUGGCAUGUGUGUUCACAGAAGGUACAGUGUGCGAGAACACACUUAGGAAAUUUUAGGAACGCUAAUCACAGUACUGGAGGAAUAAAGAUGUGUCGAAGGAAUGGAUGGAAUGCAUGAACACAUACACCUUGUUGUCCAGAUGCAGACAAAAGCUACCAUGUCCGCUUGGAGUGACACCCAGACAUGCACAGAGAUGUACAGGAAGCCAAGGAGAGUGGGAUCCACCAGAGUACAGUACAAGUACAGAGUACAGUGCAAGAUGCCCAGUGGCCCUGGAGAAAAACCUUCGUUGACUCUUCUGUAUGGAAAGUUUCUGAAGAAAGGGCCAAGGAAUGAUCUGCCCCAGAGGCUGCCUUUAGGCUCCCAUACCUGCUCUGUUUGGAGACACCCAGAAGAGGCCAGUACAGCAAAGACUCUUUUUGGUUUGGUUAUUUCUGUUGCUUGUUGUCUUUUUUUCAUCCUUUGCCUGGGAAAUUGUGCUCUGGAAUAGGGCUUGAGUAGACAGCACAGGCCUCCAGUAGAUAACAAGAGAUUCUCAAUCUCCAAUGAGGACAUUCCGUUCUAAGGAAGCUUCCAGAUAGGGGAAAGUCCUGUUUUGUCCCCCUUUUCUCCUCUGAGAUCUGAAAAAAUAGAAAGAAAAAAAAAAGAAAAACAAAACAAAUAUAAAAACUAUAGCCCAAUCCCAUGUACAUCAAAUAAAUCCACAAGGAAUAUGCUAGAUCAAGCUAAAUUAUGUAUUUAACUCAUUUUCUUUUGUGAGAUACUGAGAAGUCUUCAACUUCCUCUAUUCCAGGCAGGGAUCGAGGACCUGGCCUGGCAGAGGUUCCACCACCAGGGUUUCCCACAGUGGUUCUGGGACUAGGCGUAAGGUGUCCUGACUUGUUUUCUCUGUCACCUCUUCUGGGGAACUGGGGAACUGUCCCAGACAAUGGCUGCCCCAGUUCCCUCUAGAAGAGACAGCCCCCACCCCCAGAACCCGUUGCCCUCCAACCUCACCUCAUUUUCUCUUGAGCUCAUUCUCCGAGCUCUUAAAGUAGUAGGUGUGAGUCUUGGACCAUUUCUUUAAAAGAAACAACUAAGGAAAGGGAGGGAGGGAAGGAGGGAGGAGGGGAGCGGGAAGGAGAGCUACCUCCUAGACUAACGCGUCCAGGAACCACUCUCUAAGGAGCAAAAGAGAGCCUGUGUUGUAAAGUAGAAGUGAUCCCCCGACUUUGCUGCAGGGCGCCUUGCAACAGAUGUAACUGUCCACUGAAGAGACAGAGGGUGGGCAUGGGGAAGAUUUUUUUUCCUCCCUUUUGUGAACAGCUCUUACACUUUUCCAAGACACAUUGAGUUCCUGGACAUUUUUGUGAAUUUGUUCUUGAUUGUGUUUUGAACAAUAAACUGUGAAAAUCAA